CACGUAGGGGACGAGCGUUGUCCGGAUUCAUUGGGCGUAAAGCGCGCGUAGGCGGCUCGGAAAGUCGGUCGUGAAAUGCCGGGGCUCAACCCCGGGACUGCGUCCGAUACUCCCGAGCUGGAGGCAGGUAGGGGAGAUCGGAAUUCCUGGUGUAGCGGUGAAAUGCGCAGAUAUCAGGAGGAACACCGGUGGCGAAGGCGGAUCUCUGGGCAUGUCCUGACGCUGAGGAGCGAAAGUGUGGGGAGCGAACAGG
rnacentral:rRNA from 1 species